rnacentral:rRNA from 1 species
UACGUAGGGGGCAAGCGUUGUCCGGAUUUAUUGGGCGUAAAGAGCGCGUAGGCGGCCAGGUAGGUCUGCUGUGAAAACUCGAGGCUUAACCUCGAGAUGUCGGCGGAAACCAUCUGGCUAGAGUCCGGAAGAGGAGAAUGGAAUUCCCGGUGUAGCGGUGAAAUGCGCAGAUAUCGGGAAGAACACCCGUGGCGAAGGCGGUUCUCUGGGACGGUACUGACGCUGAGACGCGAAAGCGUGGGGAGCGAACAGG